rnacentral:misc_RNA from 1 species
AAGGAGUCUAACAUAUCUGCGAGUAUUUGGGUGUCAAACCUGAGUGCGCAAUGAGAGUGAACGCAGGAACCACGCGCAAGCUGCAGCUUCGACCGAUCUGGAUCUCUAGUGAUGGAUUUGAGUAAGAUCAUAUAUGUUGGGACCCGAAGGAUGGUGAACUAUGCCUGAAUAGGGCGAAGCCAGGGGAAACUCUGGUGGAGGCUGGUGGCGAUACUGACGUGCAAAUCGAUCGUCAAAUUUGGGUAUAGGGGCGAAAGACUAAUCGAACCAUCUAGUAGCUGGUUCCUGC